UACAGGGGGUGCAAACGUUGCUCGGAAUUAUUGGGCGUAAAGCGCGCGUAGGCGGUCGCUUAAGUCGGAUGUGAAAGCCCUUGGCUUAACCGAGGAAGUGCAUCCGAAACUGAGCAGCUAGAGUACGAAAGAGGGUCGCGGAAUUCCCGGUGUAGAGGUGAAAUUCGUAGAUAUCGGGAGGAACACCGGUGGCGAAGGCGGCGACCUGGGUCGAGACUGACGCUGAGGCGCGAAAGCGUGGGGAGCAAACAGG
rnacentral:rRNA from 1 species